rnacentral:rRNA from 1 species
AACGAACGCUGGCGGCAUGCCUAACACAUGCAAGUCGAACGAGACCUUCGGGUCUAGUGGCGCACGGGUGCGUAACGCGUGGGAACCUGCCCUUAGGUUCGGAAUAACUCCCCGAAAGGGGUGCUAAUACCGGAUAAUGUCUUCGGACCAAAGAUUUAUCGCCUUUGGAUGGGCCCGCGUUGGAUUAGCUAGUUGGUAGGGUAAAAGCCUACCAAGGCGACGAUCCAUAGCUGGUCUGAGAGGAUGAUCAGCCACACUGGGACUGAGACACGGCCCAGACUCCUACGGGAGGCAGCAGUGGGGAAUAUUGGACAAUGGGCGAAAGCCUGAUGCAGCAAUGCCGCGUGAGUGAUGAAGGCCUUAGGGUUGUAAAGCUCUUUUACCCGGGAUGAUAAUGACAGUACCGGGAGAAUAAGCACCGGCUAACUCCGUG